AACGAACGCUGGCGGCAUGCCUAACACAUGCAAGUCGAACGCCUGUAGCAAUACAGGAGUGGCAGACGGGUGCAAAACGCGUGGAAACCUAUCCUUGGGUUCGGAAUAACCGCGGGAAACUGCGGCUAAUACCGGAUACGUCCUUCGGGAGAAAGAUUUAUCGCCCAUUGAGGGGUCCGCGUCUGAUUAGCUAGUUGGUGAGGUAAUGGCUCACCAAGGCGACGAUCAGUAGCUGGUCUGAGAGGAUGAUCAGCCACACUGGAACUGAGACACGGUCCAGACUCCUACGGGAGGCAGCAGUGGGGAAUAUUGGACAAUGGGCGCAAGCCUGAUCCAGCAAUGCCGCGUGGGUGAUGAAGGCCUUCGGGUUGUAAAGCCCUUUUGGCGGGGACGAUGAUGACGGUACCCGCCGAAUAAGCUCCGGCUAACUUCGUGCCAGCCGCCGCCGUAACAC
rnacentral:rRNA from 1 species